rnacentral:lncRNA from 1 species
GAUGAACGUAGGUAGACGAGGAAUCACACUUAGCCUCAGUCGCAGAAAGGCGAGCAAAAGGAGGGGGCAAGUAUUCAAGUAAUAGUCCUCACCUACGGAUGAACGUAGGUAAACGAGGAAUCACACUUAGCCCCUAUCGCAGAAAGGCGGAGAAAAGGAGGGGGCAAGUAUUCAAAUAAUAUUCCUCACCCACGGAUGAACGCGGGUAGACGAGGAAGCACAAUCAGCCCCUGUCGCGGAAAGGCGGAAAAAAGGAGGGGGCAAGUAUACAAACAACAAUCCUCACCUACGGACGAACGUAGGUAGACGAGGAAUCACACUUAGCCUCAGUCGCAGAAAGGCGAGCAAAAGGAGGGGGCAAGCAUUCAAGUAAUAGUCCUCACCUACGGAUGAACGUAGGUAGACGAGGAAUCACAAUCAGCCCCUAUCGCGGAAAGGCGGAAAAAAGGAGGGGGCAAGUAUUCAAUUAACAAAUCCUCACCCACGGACGAACGUGGGUAGACGAGGAAGUACACUCAGCN